rnacentral:rRNA from 1 species
UACGGAGGGUGCAAGCGUUAUCCGGAUUCACUGGGUUUAAAGGGUGCGUAGGUGGGUCUGUAAGUCAGUGGUGAAAUCUCCGGGCUUAACCCGGAAACUGCCAUUGAUACUAUAGGUCUUGAAUCUUCUGGAGGUCAGCGGAAUAUGUCAUGUAGCGGUGAAAUGCUUAGAUAUGACGCAGAACACCAAUUGCGAAGGCAGCUUGCUACACUGUUAUUGACACUGAGGCACGAAAGCGUGGGGAUCAAACAGG